rnacentral:lncRNA from 1 species
CACUUUCUUCAUCUGUAAAAUGGAUCUUCCUCCUUCAACAAAUGCCCCAGGAAAAAGUAUAAUACAGCUCCUCUAACUUCCACACAUAAUAAAACUUUCUCAAAAAGCAACCGUGCUGGGCGUCUAGGGGAGAUACCAGGAGGGUGGCAUACGUGUUGGGAGGUCCCUGUGUCACAGGCUUGCUGCAAUUCACAUCCUCCCAGAAACUGCAAGGGAACAGCCACCUUCUGGCCUUGACAGUUUCAGAAUUUCAGAGGAGGGUCCCUGGAUCCUUGGCAGCUGGGAGGAAUUGACAGGCCCUGUGGUAUGGGAGGUGGAGGCACACCCAGGACAGUCUGGCAGGGGUGGAAACCUCUCUGCCACACAGCUGAGUGUCCCCACCACCUCCAUCUCUCUGAGCUUCAAUUCCUUGAUUUUUAAGGUAAGGAUAAUAAUGCUGGCCUCAUGUGCCAGGGUAGGGGAGAAAAACUGAGAAGACAGAGGGGUCACAUUUACGCGGUUCAUUGUUCUAUCCCUGGUGCCCAGUUGGCCUCCAGUAAAUGUUUGUUGAAUGAAUGCAAGUGAAGUGCACAGUUCAGGGACUGCUGUAGAAUCAAUGGCUGCUGCCAUCAGUCCCCACUCCCCUGCCCCCAGCUCUACCUCCAUCGCCAUCAGUGGCAGUUACUGGCUCUGACAUUUUGCACUCUCAGGGGGUCCUCACCUCACCCCAGCCCUGUAUUCCGUCCAAUUCAGCUUCACUGGGUUGGUGGGGAGCUGUCCAUGCCUCUCAUCACGCUCUGCUCUCUGCGGCUGCCAGAAGCCUCCAUUGUUUGCCCCACCAGAUGCCGAGGUGUGCUGUGAAAGCUGUCUCCCAAAAGGAAGCAGGGGUAUCUGGACCUCAGCCGGGGUCACCCACCGCUGCCCUGCCCUGCCCUGCCUGCCCUGACGGAGCAAGAGCCUGUCUCAGAAGACAAACCAACCAACAAACAAAAGCCAACACAGGAGAAGGGGGCAGGAUGCGGGCUUCCUACUUCUCUCUACCCUUAGUGAGUAUGCAUUUUGCUAAGGAUCAAGUAUUGGUGCCCUCCAUGGACACCACAAGGAAGGGAGCGACUCCUGCAGGCUUCUUUGUGUAGCUCUGGGGUCUAGAAGGACUGAUUCUGGCCAGAAACAACAAGACCUCUUUCUUGGGCAUGAGGCUGGGGUGGGGGCUCCUCUAAGCCUCUUAAGAGGUACCUGGGGCCGGGCACGGUGGCUCACACCUAUAAUCCCAGCAUUUUGGGAGGCCAAGGUGGGUGGAUCACCUGAGGUCAGGAGUUUGAGACCAGUCUGGCCAACAUGGCAAAACCCUG